rnacentral:rRNA from 1 species
AGCAGCCGCGGUAAUUCCAGCUCCAAUAGCGUAUAUUAAAGUUGUUGCAGUUAAAAAGCUCGUAGUUGAAUUUCGGGAUUGGCGCAUCGGUCGUGCCUCACGGGGUAUGAACUGGUGCAGUCAAUUUCUCACCUUCUGGAGAACCGCGAUGUCCUUAAUUGGAUGCCGCGGGGAACCAGGACCUUUACUUUGAAAAAAUUAGAGUGUUUAAAGCAGGCAUUUUUGCUUGAAUACAUUAGCAUGGAAUAAUAAAAUAGGACGGCAUGGUUCUAUUUUGUUGGUUUCUAGGACCACCGUAAUGAUUAAUAGGGAUAGUUGGGGGCAUUAGUAUUCAAUUGUCAGAGGUGAAAUUCUUGGAUUUAUUGAAGACUAACUACUGCGAAAGCAUUUGCCAAGGAUGUUUUCAUUAAUCAAGAACGAAAGUUAGGGGAUCGAAGACGA